rnacentral:lncRNA from 1 species
CGUAACUGAGAGCUUUCUCUGAAACAGGACAAUGAAAAUGUUAGAUCACAAAAGUUUCAGAACAAAUGAUGUUUUGUUUCUAUUUAAAGUUUUCCUGUCAGCCUCAGUUGAAUGACCUACUAAUAGAGUCGACUGUAUUAAAUCAGUUAUAACAAACAGUCAACACACAGGCUCCUCAGCCAAUAGAAUUAACACACAUUUAUGACAGUUAACCCAGUUAGUUAAUCUUCGC